rnacentral:rRNA from 1 species
GGAAUAUUGGACAAUGGGCGCAAGCCUGAUCCAGCAAUGCCGCGUGGGUGAAGAAGGCCUUCGGGUUGUAAAGCCCUUUUGUACGGGAAGAAAUCCUUUCGGUUAAUACCCGGCGGGGCUGACGGUACCGUAAGAAUACGCACCGGCUAACUUCGUGCCAGCAGCCGCGGUAACACGAAGGGUGCAAGCGUUAAUCGGAAUUACUGGGCGUAAAGCGUGCGUAGGCGGUUUGUUAAGUCUGAUGUGAAAGCCCUGGGCGCAACCUGGGAAUGGCAUUGGAUACUGGCGAGCUAGAGUGUGAUAGAGGAUGGCGGAAUUCCCGGUGUAGCGGUGAAAUGCGUAGAGAUCGGGAGGAACAUCCGUGGCGAAGGCGGCCAUCUGGAUCAACACUGACGCUGAGGCACGAAAGCGUGGGGAGCAA